AUUUAAAUAGCUUAAGAAGAGCAUAACGUUGAAGGUGUUAAGGUGAUAAAAAAUAUCUUUAAAUA
rnacentral:tRNA from 1 species